rnacentral:tRNA from 1 species
GACCCGUUAGUUCAGCGGUGAGAACACUCGCUUAUUUAAAAUGUAGUGGUCGGGGGUUCAAAUCCCUCACGGGUCC